rnacentral:rRNA from 1 species
GGCUCAGAAUCCACGCUGGCGGCGUGCCUAACACAUGCAAGUCGAACGAGAAAGUGUGACUGUAGCAAUACAGUCAGCACCUGUAAAGUGGCGAACGGGUGAGUAACACGUAGCUAACCUACCCUCGAGCGGGGAAUAACCCUGGGGAAACCUGAGCUAAUACCGCAUAACAUUCCGGUGACUUAAGCCAUCGGGAUCAAAGGCCCGCAAGGGCCACUUGAGGAGGGGGCUGCGCCCUGAUUAGCUAGUUGGUGGGGUAACAGCCUACCAAUGGCGAUGAUCGGUAGCCGGCCUGAGAGGGCUGCACGGCACACUGGCACUGAGAUACGGGCCAGACUCCUACGGGAGGCAGCAGUGGGGAAUUUUGCACAAUGCCCGAAAGGGUGAUGC